CCCCCCGGGCGCCCAGGUUCGAACAUCGCCGCCCCUGCUUCGUCUCCAUUUCGAGAUUGGAGGUGGCGCUAUCUCUCCUCUCUAUCACCCCUCGCCUCUUCUUCUUUCUCUCCUUCCCUUUCCCCUCGUCCUCUCCUUUUUUUUUCUCAGUGAAACAGCCACCGGGCGAGGCCGGCAGGCGAUGUACGCCUAUGCUUCUCCCUCCCUCUUUUUUGUUUUCCUUUUCAGGUGAAGCAAACGGCAGCAGCAACUGCUCCGACUAACAGCGCAAACAACAAGUAACCAGGCGAGCCUCCACGACGCAGUGAACGCCGCUCGUCCUUCUCUUCUCCAACGAGAACAGUCGGCAGACAGAAUUCAAAGCAGCGGCCUCUUCUUUCUGGCGAGGAUGGACAAUGCACUCCGGCAAGAACGAAAGACGAAUCUAUAAUAGAACCAUCCAGACCAUGGUUUACCACACACGAUCAAAAGACUCUCUUCCUUCUCUUCCGACUGAGAAUCGCAAAGAAAAGAGGAAAGUGACUAGUGAAAAGGUUAUGUGCAAAUUAUUGAAAAGAAGUGUCUUUCAGACGAGUUGGUAUCAAGCCUUGAGCAGAAAAUAAAAAAAUUAGAAGAAGAGGUGUUGGAUAUGUGUGAGUGGGACAAGUUGUUACUCUCCGCCAAUCCUACUUUGGAGAUAAACACAGAUAUGUCACCUUCGCAAGUCAAGCCACUCUCUAAAAUAGCCCUCCAAUUCACCCGACUUCUCAUCCUUCUCCAAGUUACCCCAUUCUCAAAAUCAACCAAGUUACAUUCAAAUGCCUCCAAAGAACACCCACUUUCCAAAUAAACAAUAUCCUCCCCAUCAUCAUGCUCCUGGAUCUCAACAUCUUACUCCACACCCACAGAAUCCUACUAUACAAGAUCUUCAAUAUGAAAAACCUUUACACCAAGUUCCUUGGCAUCAUGUGCCUCUCAUACCAUUCCAAUCCUUCCAUAUCAAAUGUCUCCGUACCAAAGGUUUCCUCCGUCAUUAUCAACCACCAGCAUAUCCUGCUCAUGAUGUCAAAGUCAUCACCCGACCACAUAUUCGCAAAAAUCUCUUCAAGGCUGAGAAGAAGUCCAACAAAAUAUAUACUCCCCCGACUGAGCCUAUAGGCCAACUCUACGAAUAAUUGGUGAUGGUCGGACACAUCGCUCCUAUCAAUACAAUAAGGAUGAAUACACGUGCAUGGUGGAUUGAACCCUCUAAGAAAUACAUGUACAUAUACAAAGGCAACUUCAACCUCGCUUGACGGAUAACAUACCACUAUUGAGCCCGACAGAGAACGUUCAACCCUUCCAACAAGUAAAAAUAACUUUAAACCUGCCAAUAUCAUGUCACGUCACAAGCUGAGUAAGCAAAAUGAGAUAGAUGAGAAUGAAUUCGAGGAAUAUGAUGAAAAGACCAUGGUUUCGGAACACCUCGCAGAAUAUAUUGAAACAAUUUAAGAAUCAAGAGAAGCCAAACUAAGAUGAGAAUGAGACCGUGAACCUGGGAGAGGAAGAAAUUUUUAAAGAAAACAGGAUCAGUGUCCAUCUCACAAUAACUCAAAAAGAAGAUCUCAUCAGUUUGUUUAAGCAGUACAUCGACGUAUUUGCCUGGUCCUAUGAUGAUAUGCCCGGAUUGAGCAUAGAUAUUGUUUCUCACAAGUUUUCGAUCAAUCCAUAUUUCAGUCCGAUUAAGAAGAAAACUCAAAAGUUCAAGCCAGAAUUGAGUUUGAGAAUCAAAAAAGAAGUUACCAAACAAAUUCAGCCAAACUUGUGAAGGUUACUAAUUAUCCAACUUGGUUAGAGAAUAUUGUUCUAGUGCCCAAGAAAUAUGGUUAUCAUUAGAUUUUGAUGGAUGGAAAAGACGUUGAAACAACUUUCAUUACACCUUGGGGUGUUUAUCAUUACCAGGUAAUGUCAUUCGGUCUUAAGAAUGCUAAAUCCAUAUACAUGAGAGUCAUGACAGCUAUCUUUGAUGACAUAAUCUACAAAGAGAUUUAAGUGUAUGUGGAUGACAUAAUUAUCAAGUCCCACGAGAGUUCAGAUCACUUGACCAAUUUGAGAAAGUUUUUUGAUUGGAUUGUCAAUACAACUUGGAAUUGAAUCCUAUUAGAUGUACUUUUGGAGUAUAAAUUGGUAAAUUAUUGGGUCUCAUAGUUAGUAUAAGAGGCAUUGGGCUUGAUCCUACUUUCUUCGAACUCUAAGAAAGAAGUUAUGAGUUUCCUUGGAAGAUUAAACUAUAUUAGUCGAUUCAUAGAUCAAUCCACAGUGGUUUGCGAGCCUAUCUUUAAGUUGUUGAAAAAGAUGUACUAACGGUAUGGAACAAAGAUUGUGAAAAAGCUUUUAAUACUAUCAAAGAUUAUCUGACAAAUCCACCAGUAUUAGUACCUCCACAAGAAGGAAGUCUCUUGUUACUAUACUUGUCAUCUUAGAGAAUGCAUUCGGGUGUGUAUUAUGACAACAUGAUGAAACUGGGAAGAAGGAACGUAUGAUAAACUAUCUUAGCAAGAGGUUUACUCCAUAUGAGGAUCAGUACACUCUAUUGGAAAGAACAUGUUGUGCUUUCACUAGAAUAGCCCAAAAGUAGAGGCAUUAUAUGUCUUCAUAUACUACAUGUUUUAUCUCCAUGAUGGAUCCAUUGAAGUAUAUUUUCCAAAAAGCUAUGUCAAUUGAAAAACAGGCAAAACAGUAGAUGCUUCUGAGCAAGUUUGACAUUGUGUAUGUUACUCAAAAAGCGGUAAAAGGACAAAAAAUGGCCGAUCAUAUAUGCAAAAGAUUAGUUGAUGAAGAAUAUGAACCGCUCAAAACAUAUUUCCCCAACGAAGAUGUGUUGUUCAUAGGAAAAAAUAGUUCUGAGUCAUACCCUGGAUGGAGGGUAUUCUUUGAUGGAGCAGUAAAUUAUAAUGGAUCUGGAAUUGGAGCGGUUUUAAUAUCGAAAUCUGGUUAACAUUACCUCGUUGCGGAUAAACUUCGAUUUCAUUGCACCAAUAAUAUGGCAGAGUACGAGGCUUGCAAUCUUGACAUAAUGUUAGCUAUUGAAAUGAAUGUCCAAAAGUUGCUGGAAAUUGGAGAUUCAGACUUGUUAUUUCACUAGAUUCAAGGGGAAUGGGCCUUGAAAAAUCCAAAGAUUGUGCAAAAGAUUUUGAAAGUAGAGUUUAUGCACAAUCCAAGGUUGCAAAAUGAAUUUGUCGACGCUCUUGCCACUAUUUUCUCAAUGAUCAAGAAUCCAGAUCAGAAUUACAUUAAUCCUUGAGAUAGAUUUAAAGGAACAACCCGCUCAUUGCUCGCAUGUCGAAGCAUAACCAGACAUAAAGACUUGGUAUUAUGAUAUAAAGAAGUACCCGGAGACUUGAAUUUAUCAAGAAGAUGCGACAUCCCAUCAAAAGAAGGCACUAUGUUGAUUGGCGAACAAUUUCUUUCCAAGUGUGGGAAAUCCUUUAUAGAAGGACUCCAGAUUUAGGACUCCUUAGGUAUGUAGAUUCCAUGGAGGAUACAAGACUUCUUGAGGAAGUACAUGCUAGAGUUAUGGACCUCAUAUGAAUGGGCUUCCUUGGCAAACAAGAUCCUCCGAGCUGGUUAUUUUUUAAUACUAUGGAGCACGAUUAUUGUAGAUUUGUGCAAAAGUAUCAUAAAUGUCAAGUACAUGGUGAUUUGAUUCGAGUACCUCCUCAAGAACUUAACGCUAUGGGAUCACCUUGGCCAUUCGUGGCAUGGGGAAUGGAUGUCAUUGGCCAAUUGAGCAAGCCGCCUCUAAUGGACAUAGAUUUAUUUUGGUUUCCAUUGAUUAGUUCACCAAGUUGGUGGAAGCAAAUUCUUAUAAAUCUGUGAUGAAAAAGGUAGUAGUUGAUUUCGUUCUUAACAACUUGAUAUGUCGAUUGGAAUACCUGAUUCCAUUAUCACAGACAAUGGUGCAAACCUCAACAGUCAUUUGAUGAAGAUAUACGUUAGAAAUUCAAGAUUACUCACUGAAACUCAACUACUUAUCAUCCUAAAAUGAAUGGAGCCAUAGAAGCUGCCAAUAAGAACAUUAAAAAGAUUUUGAGAAAGAUUAUUGAUAAUCACAAAGGUUGUCAUGACAUGUUACCAUAUGCUUUGUUGGGAUACCGAACAACUAUUAGAACAUCAAUCGGAGCAACUCCAUACUUGCUAGUAUAUGGGAUAGAAGUAGUGAUACCUGUUGAAGUUGAAAUACCUUCAUUGAGAAUCAUUCAAGAAGCCGGACUGACCAAUGUUGAUUGGGUUCGUAAUCGGGUUGAAUAUUUAGCUUGAAUUGAUGAAAAGAGGAUGAUCGUUGUUUAUCAUGGCCAAUUAUAUCAAAAAAGAAUGAUUCAUGCUUUCAACAAAAUAGUGAGAUCUCUAACAUUUAAAGAAGGACAAUUGGUCCUCAAACACAUAUUCCCCCAUCAAGAUGAGUAUAAGGGGAAAUUUGUACUAAAUUGGCAAGGACCGUACAUAGUUCGUAAAGUGUUAUCUGGAGGUGCCUUGAGCCUAUCAGAGAUGGAUGGCCAGGACUGGCCAAAAGCAAUCAACUCAGAUGCUGUCAAGAGAUACUACGUCUGAAGAUUAGUUUCUCUCUCAUCACUUCCCUUGUAGUCGUUUCAUUUGCUUGUAAUUGCUUAUACCAAGUUUUUAUAUCCUUGUAUUAAACUACGUUUGACCUGAAUUCUCAAAAUGAGAUAUGUAAGCGGCAUAUGUUGGCCUCGGUCAUUUUCUUAUUAAAAUUUCCUAUUUCUUUUAUUCUCAAAAGGGGAACUACGUUUGACUUGAUUCUUGCCUCAAUGGGCUAUGUAGGCGCCACAACGACUCGGUCAUACACCCAUAAAAUUUCCAUUUCUCUUUAUAAUUAAAAUUGGGCAGAAUUUUUGAGAGGUUCUCAAAAAUUUUAAAGAUACUUUGUCAGCAAGACAAGAUUGGGCAUGCAUUAGGAAAAUGCAAUUGGCAGAAUUUUUAGAAGAUCUCAAAAAUUCCGCAAGUCUUCCUACCAAGAUUUGAGGAAUGACAAGACAUUUCACUAGGGCAAAAUUUUUGAGAAGAUCCCAAAAAUUUCCAAGUGUUCCUACUAAAGACUUGAGGAAUUCCAAGACAUUUCACUGGGGAAGAAUUUUUGAGAAGAUCUCAAAAAUUCUAUCAAGUACUGUCAGAAGUUCAGAGUUAAUCACAAGUAGUCUUCAGCGUGAUUAGAAACUCGUGAACCUCAAUAUCUCUGAAAUUUGAAGUCAAACUUCAUAUUUCAACUUAAAAGGACUUUGUGGAUAUACGAAAUUUGAACCGAAGUGUUCACUUAAGCUUUAAAGUGACAUGACACUUGACAGUCACCAUCAUUAAAUUACUUUUCAAAAAUUUAUUUUUCUUAAAACUUUAGACAUAUAUCAAAUAUGUUGUAGAAAAUAUAGGUCUAUCUUACGUCUACCAAGAAGCGCGGAGCUAAAAGCAAUCAACCAAGGAUAGCAGAAGGAAGAGCCCGCAAUCAAAGAAGUCAACACAUAUUAGUUCAUUUAAAACUAAUAAAUUUUAUGUGGAUGUAGGUUUGCAAGGAUAUCAAGAGAUCAUCAUAUUCAACAAAUAUGGAAAGGUCUGAAGAGAAAAAGCAUCCGAGACUAAAAUUUUCUUUAUGCAGGAAAAGACAUUGAUAUUCCUGCGAUAAAAGGUAGUUAACUUAGUGUUUUAAAUGAAAAUUUCUUGUUCAUAUUUCUCAACAAAAAUAGUAGCCACAAAGAAUAUACAAGUGGUCAAGAAAAAUAGGUGAAAUCAUCAAGAGGAUGACACUUCAAGAUGUACAAAUGAGUGUGAUAACGUCAUAUUGCAUUUUCUAGCGUCAAAGACAUAUGAAGGGCACACAUAAGAUAUAUCAAAUAUCGGAGAGAAUUUGAAGUGCAGCUUGCCAAAAUAUUCAUUAUCACGUUAAAGCUGGAAGAGGCCAACAUUGAAGGAUAUUUGUAAGUCACAUCGAUACCAAACACGACGAUGUGCAAUUUCAAAAGGGUCAUCAACAUUAUAUUAUCAAAAGUGGUAAUGUCAUUUCCAAGAGGGCCAUCAACAUUGUAUUUUCGAACGUGGUAAGAUCAUAUCAAAGG